UACGUAGGGGGCAAGCGUUGUCCGGAUUUAUUGGGCGUAAAGAGCGUGUAGGCGGCUAGACAGGUCCGCUGUGAAAACUCGAGGCUCAACCUCGAGACGUCGGUGGAAACCGUUUGGCUAGAGUCCGGAAGAGGAGAGUGGAAUUCCCGGUGUAGCGGUGAAAUGCGCAGAUAUCAGGAGGAACACCUGUGGCGAAAGCGGCUCACUGGACCAUAACUGACGCUGAUGCACGAAAGCUAGGGGAGCAAACAGG
rnacentral:rRNA from 1 species